rnacentral:rRNA from 1 species
GACGAACGCUGGCGGCGUGCUUAACACAUGCAAGUCGAACGGAAAGGCCCUGCUUUUGUGGGGUGCUCGAGUGGCGAACGGGUGAGUAACACGUGAGUAACCUGCCCUUGACUUUGGGAUAACUUCAGGAAACUGGGGCUAAUACCGGAUAGGAGCUCCUGCUGCAUGGUGGGGGAUGGAAAGUUUCGGCGGUUGGGGAUGGACUCGCGGCUUAUCCGCUGGUUGGUGGGGUAGUGGCUUACCAAGGUUUUGACGGGUAGCCGGCCUGGGAGGGGGACCGGCGACAUUGGGACUGAGAUACGGCCCAGACUCCUACGUGCGGCAGCAGUCGAGAAUAUGGCACAAUGGGGGGAAGCCUGAUGCAGCAACGCCGCGUGCGUGAUACCGGCCUUCGAGUUGUGAACCGCUUUCGCCUGUGACAAAGCGUGAGUGACGGUAAUUAGUAAAGAAGCACCGGCUAACUACGUG